GCGCCUCCCUCCUGUGGACGGUGGGCCCCGUGUGCGCAUGUCUGUGGCCGGUGCUGUCCGUGGUCACCCUUGUUUACUGGUUAAUUUUUCCUCCCAACUCCCCGAGGCAGCAUCUGUUUCUGUCAGCCAUGUUCCCCGAGUGGACGAUUUCUUUCAACAACCUCCUUUAAAGGUGAUUAUUUUCAAUAACGAUCAUUGUUUUCUGGAUGCCGGCUUUGGUUUUGAAGCAAAGCGAGGACUACAUUUCCAUGUUGAAGAUGUUUAUUCAAACGUAUGAAAAUACUCCAUGUGUGCCGAGUGUGUCAGGGAGGGAGUUCUCCCAAUUCCGUUCUGCACACAACACAACUUCUACUAGAAAUGAAAAGGACGGUCAGGCACAAGGAACUGCCUGCUGGCCCCUUCCUAACCUCAGCCCCCAGCUCACCGCAGGCCUGGCCCCGAGCCGGUCAUCCCCACCCCCUGCAUCGGAAGUGACUCCCCACCUCGAGGUCACAGCUAGUCACAUGUGCCCAGCACCCUUUCAUCUCUGCCCUCCUCUCCGGUCAAGUGACCUCAGUGCGUGGCCCCAGGCCUCUCCCGCGUGGCCUUGGGCUCUCUUGGGUAAGCACCACGUACAUUUGGACCUUGAAGACUUGGUAAUGAAUAAAAAUC